rnacentral:rRNA from 1 species
UAGGGAAUCUUCCACAAUGGGCGAAAGCCUGAUGGAGCAACGCCGCGUGUGUGAUGAAGGGUUUCGGCUCGUAAAACUCUGUUGUUAAAGAAGAACAUAUCUGAGAGUAACUGUUCAGGUAUUGACGGUAUUUAACCAGAAAGCCACGGCUAACUACGUGCUAG